rnacentral:rRNA from 1 species
GACGAACGCUGGCGGCGUGCCUAAUACAUGCAAGUCGAGCGAAGUUUUUCUGGUGCUUGCACUAGAAAAACUUAGCGGCGAACGGGUGAGUAACACGUAAAGAACCUGCCUCAUAGACUGGGACAACUAUUGGAAACGAUAGCUAAUACCGGAUAACAGCAUUAACUGCAUGGUUGAUGUUUGAAAGUUGGUUUUGCUAACACUAUGAGAUGGCUUUGCGGUGCAUUAGCUAGUUGGUGGGGUAAAGGCCUACCAAGGCGACGAUGCAUAGCCGACCUGAGAGGGUGAUCGGCCACACUGGGACUGAGACACGGCCCAGACUCCUACGGGAGGCAGCAGUAGGGAAUCUUCCGCAAUGGGCGAAAGCCUGACGGAGCAACGCCGCGUGAGUGAAGAAGGAUUUCGGUUCGUAAAGCUCUGUUGUUAGGGAAGAAUGAUUAUGUAGUAACUAUACAUAGUAGAGACGGUACCUAACCAGAAAGCCACGGCUAACUACGUG